rnacentral:rRNA from 1 species
UACGGGGGGGGCAAGCGUUGUUCGGAAUUACUGGGCGUAAAGGGCUCGUAGGCGGCCAACUAAGUCAGACGUGAAAUCCCUCGGCUUAACCGGGGAACUGCGUCUGAUACUGGAUGGCUUGAGUUUGGGAGAGGGAUGGCGGAAUUCCAGGUGUAGCGGUGAAAUGCGUAGAUAUCUGGAGGAACACCGGUGGCGAAGGCGGCAUCCUGGACCAACACUGACGCUGAGUGAGCGAAAGCCAGGGGAGCAAACGGG